rnacentral:piRNA from 1 species
UAAAAAGUCUCAGCCAAGAAUAAGUGCCAUUU